GUCUAUAGCCAUGCCACCCUGAACAUGCCUGAUCUCAGAAACUAAGCAGGUUCGGGCCUGGUUAGUACUUGGAUGGGAGAAUUCAGUUCGACC
rnacentral:rRNA from 1 species